UAGCAAGCUUAUGUUGGCCCAACGUUGGCUUAUGGUUGUAAGGUUGGCUACAUAUCGCUGUUGGUUGAACGACGUUAGACCAACAUUGGACCAACCUUGUAUUUAUCACUGUUGGUGCAUUGGCAUCGUUCCAAUAUUGGAUCAACGUAGUUCAUCCAACGUUGGAACAUAAACAUUGUGCCAACAUUGGGCCAAUAUCAAAUUGAUCUCGGUGGGCGCGAAUACACUGCACCGAUGUCGGGCCGACGGACUAAAAUGUGUGAAAUGUGUAAAAUAUAACGGUUACUAUAAAUAUAAAUGUAUUCAAAUGAAUUUCAGAUUUAGAAUUUUAGUUAAUUUUUUAAAAAUGUACAUGACUAUAUUAUGUGUGUCCAUCAUGAAGCAUUUUACUUGUCUACACUUUGAAUGAAAUGCAGCAUCAAUGCAUAGUAACUUUUCUGCACUUGUGAAUGAAACAUUACCGCCAAAAGAACUGUGAUGUCAUUUUUGACAAAUCCAUCAGAGUAACUUGAUCUUAUGCUAUCAUCAUGGUUGCCUGUAGGAAUAAUGUAAGUAUGCAGAUGUUCUUUUACAGAUUUUUAUCAUAUAUGGGUGAUUAUUAUACAAUAAUGUUCUCAAUACUUUUAAAUGAAAAUUUGAAAGCAAAUUAAAGGCAAUUUUUUGUACAGACAUCCUCCUGCUGAUGUUCAAACUCGGUGACAUGGCUGUCUCCUAUAUUAUUUGUGAAGAUGAAUAGAACCAUGCAGUUUAUCGGCUCAAGUUAAGGAACAUCUAAGCAGCAUUUUGCAGAAACGGGCUUUUGAAGUUAUCAACGAGGUCAGAACUAGAGAACUAAACUGGAACUGAACUAAACAUAGUGACCAAACGCAUUUACUGUGAUUCGUUAUUCAUCUGAUUGGGAAAGGGGAUGAAAAUAGGAGUAAAGAAAACAAACGAAGAAGAUUGAAGGGAUGUGGAAGUAUAUAGAUCGACUAUAAAAAACCAUUUGAAAAUUUGAAUAUUGAUUAUAUUUCUGUGAGAAAACAAUAAAGAUUAGACUUACUGUUAA